AGCCAGGCCUAUGCAGUUCCUUUCAAAGCAACAACGAUGAAUGAAGCUUUUUCUAGCAGCAUGGCUGUAAUCCUAUAGAUAGCUGCUGAGCACCGUUGUCCAAUCCCACUGGAUGUUAUUCCUCUGUCCAGGAAUCCUUCCUCCGCUGCUGC
rnacentral:lncRNA from 12 species